UCCAGCGGUAGUCAGCUGUCCAGGGCUCCCUAUGCCUGUGAUAGUGUUACACAGCUGGGAGAUGAAGACAUUGCCACCCCAUGCUUGCUGUCACUGUCACCGUUCUGGUGCCAUGUGACACUAGUAUCUGGCAAUGUGGUGCUUCCUUGAGAGUGCGCUGACAUUAGCACAGGAUGUUUAGCGCUAGAAUGGGAGCUUACAGU